rnacentral:rRNA from 1 species
GAUGAACGCUGACAGAAUGCUUAACACAUGCAAGUCUACUUGCACUUCGGUUUGGGUGGCGGACGGGCGAGUAACGCGUAAAGAACUUGCCUCACAGUUAGGGACAACAUUUGGAAACGAAUGCUAAUACCUGAUAUUAUGAUUUUAGGGCAUCCUAAAAUUAUGAAAGCUAUAUGCGCUGUGAGAGAGCUUUCCGUCCCAUUAGCUAGUUGGAGAGGUAACGGCUCACCAAGGCGAUGAUGGGUAGCCGGCCUGAGAGGGUGAACGGCCACAAGGGGACUGAGACACGGCCCUUACUCCUACGGGAGGCAGCAGUGGUGAAUAUUGGACAAUGGACCAAAAGUCUGAUCCAGCAAUUCUGUGUGCACGAUGACGUUUUUCGGAAUGUAAAGUGCUUUCAGUUGGGAAGAAAAAAAUGACGGUACCAACAGAAGAAGUUACGGCUAAAUACGUG